UGUUUUACUGUCCACGGGCCCGUCUGUUCAAAACACCUCUUCUUUAAGUGCAGGUGUGAGCCAACCUCAACUUCCCUUCCACGGCGGCGGGGAUGAAACACAUGCUGCCCAAAUCUUAACACACCAGUGGGCACCAGAAGACAGCUGGACGAUGGUUAGCUGACAUUUCCCUCCCCUCAAGUUUUAACCUUGGUGGACACGUCAGAGGGCUACUACACAGAGAGAGAGAGAGCCUCGCGUGUAUGUAACCUUGAAGGCGCAUUAGUUCACUGCUGGAACAAUAAGAACCAACAACGUGCUCCGUCAGCCGCGGCGACACGUCGACAAGAGGCUUGCUCAAAGAACUCACCAGUGCAGGUAAAGCCAGCGAGGACGAGGCAGAGCACGAGGAGCGUAGCGCCGAACCCACAGCGGACAAAGGGGCCCAGAAGUGAGGGCAUCUUCGUGGGUCUUUAUCAGCUUUAAGUUUCGGAGGGUGGAACAAAAAAUAAAUAAAUAAAUAAAUAAGACACGGGAGCGGAGAAGGGGACGCCGGCACACUGGUGCUUUCUUUAAAGGUCCGGAGAGUGUCCUCUGUAGCACUAAACGCCUUUUUCACACAACGCCCAAGUCCUUUUUUGUCUGUGUGUGGUUGUUUUCUCUCCUCAACACAUAUCCUCCCGCCGUACCGUGGCCAUCAGUAUCCCGGUCGUGCGUCCUCGUUGCUCAGAACAACGCAUCACAGGUGUGGUGGCGGUAAAUAAACUGCUCCCUUCGCUCGCGAGCCAGCCAGCCAGCCGCGGGGUUGACUGAUGCUGUAUUUGUCCACACAAACGCGCGUACACACACACACGCACACACACUCAUAUAAAUAUAUAUAUACACACACACAAAAAAGCCGCUAUCCGCUCACAACUCUCCCCCUCUCUCUCUCACCAGGCAGAGGAGGGAGGCAGUUUUUUUUCUUCUUCUGUUGUUUCCUGUCACUUUGUAGCCUUCCCGCGAAAGAACACCUUCUCCCGAAUGCGAAAAAAUUGUAAGAAUUGGCAACCAGAGCAGGAACAUCUGCUUGCACAGCAAUGCUGGAGUGUUGAGAGUCGGGGAAGGUAGAGAGAAGGAGCUGCGAUGAGCCCGAGCAGCAAAACCAGGAGCGGAUCCCGCGUGCUCACUGGGA